UACACCUACGGGGGGCAGCAGUGGGGGAUAUUGGACAAUGGGGGAAACCCUGAUCCAGCGAUGCCGCGUGAGGGAAGAAGGUUUUCGGAUUGUAAACCUCUGUGGAGGGGGACGAUAAUGACGGUACCCCUUUAGGAAGCCACGGCUAACUACGUGCCAGCAGCCGCGGUAAUACGUAGGGGGCAAGCGUUAUCCGGAUUCACUGGGCGUAAAGGGAGCGCAGGCGGCAUGGCAAGUCUGAUGUGAAAACCCGGGGCCCAACCCCGGGAGUGCAUUGGAAACUGCCAGGCUGGAGUGUCGGAGGG
rnacentral:rRNA from 1 species